GCGGGUAUGAUGUAAUUGGUAGCAUGAUGUCCUUCCAAGUCGUUCGUCUCGGUUCGAGUCCGUGUACCCGCU
rnacentral:tRNA from 1 species